UCAGCCGGCCACGUGACCUUCGGUCGCGACAGUUCAGGGGCUGCCCCGACGCCGCAGGUGCAGGGGGCCGCUGCCGGGGUGCGGUUGCAGGGGCCGCCGCCGCCGCAGGUCUAGAUCCCUGUCCGCAGGUUCAUAGGACGCCGCAGCAGGUGCAGGGGGCCGCCGCCACCGCAGGUCCAUGGGACGCCGCCGCAGGUCCAGGGCUACCCCGAUGCCGCAGCAGGUCCACGUGAAUGGUCCAGCGAAUGGUCCAGCAUCUGUACUUGGUGCUCCACCCGCAGCUGUUGGUGCCGUGAGAAAUAGAGAGAUGAGAAGCCACAGGGCGCUGGUUUGCUUUCUCGGUUGUGAUAGAAGCAGAGGAGGAGAUGGUGUGCUGCUGAAUGGUUUCAGCAAAAGGAGAUGGUGCUUCGAUUAGCUGCUUCCUUGCAUGUAGAGGAGGGAUUGAAUCUACUACUUGAUGGCGUUUGGAAUAGGAAGAACAGAGGGAGAUCGAUACACAAAGAGAUUGCAGAGGAGCGCUUGGAGGAUAGUUGGGCCCCUUUGGAUGAAACAGUGGCUACUGAAGAACUUGAGGAGAUGAUCCACUCUAAAGAGGCGCACACAAAUGCAGUAAACCUUGAGAGCGUAAGUCCUGAUUCCAAAUCAAUGUCAUCGUCUUAUACAUUAUUAGUUGUGGUGUUUACCAAUUAAUUGGUGCAAAAAAACUUCUCACAAUUGCAUAGUUACAUUUGCAUUGCGUAGUUUCUGGAUGUCUGGUUCCUCUGGUCUACCGACGGCACCUCCAUAUACAUCAUAGUAAACUGGUUUGCACUAAAAAAUAUUGAAGCCCUUGUUUGUUUUAGCAUAGUUCUGUGGUCUGUGCACUGCAUCAUCCUGUAUGCUGUGAAGGCUCCAUUUUAGUUUCCUUCUGCAAGUAGUGAUGCUACAUGUUUCUCUUUUCUUCAGUAGGCAAUGUCGCAAUGCUAGAGGGAAACAUUGGGUGGCAGAUACACUAAUUUUUAGUCAUACCAUGUGAAGCUCUUACUGCUCACAUGUAAGUUUUUUUUAUGUCUUGUAGCUUUCUUUGGACAUUGUCAAAAGUCUGUAUGCAAAGUUCAUAGAUUGGGAUGAGGAUAUGUAUGACCUGGAAAAUGACACACCUGCCCAUGCAGCAAAGUAAGUAACCAUGUAUAUUUCUAUUGAUAAGCAUAUGGACAAUUGCCCUUUUUCUAUUGACACUCCUGGUUGCGAAAGGCUGAGUAAAUAACCACCCCACUCUACUAGAUGUGCCCAAUUCUGAGUAAAAUUACUGAUCUCUGUGUUCCAUUGCUACUUGGCUCUGAUUUAUUUUCCACCCCGGGCUAUACCCAUGAUUUCAUUACUGCAUAGUAACGAAAUUACAAGAGUUCAAAAGGAAUACUUGGCUCUGAUUGGGUGGUGAAUUUUUCUGUUUAGCUGGGACUAAAAUUGCUAGUACACCUCGGUGAGAUCAUGUAUCAAGUAUGAUGUAGUUUUCUACUGUAAUCCUUUUCUGUUGCCAAGGGAUGAAAUGAAACAGCUCAUUUUUGCUUCAGUUGACAGGAUGUUCAAUUUCCCAAAUUAAGUACUCAGUAAACAAUAGUACAACACUAUGUGAGAAUUUUUGAUUGACCUACUAAUGGCUUCAUGUUCUGUUGAUAUAUGAAUAAAGAUUGGAUCUAUAAUAUUCUGUAGUGGUUAACAUUCGAAUGCAUUAAUAGGUUACAUUUAACAUCACAACUUUCUCCAUAAAAACAUCCUGCAUUUUUGCAGUCCAUUAAGGAACUUCCUGGCUAGGUCAGUGUUCCAUCCACGUCUGAUUUUGGCACAGCUCCUCCCUUGUCAGCCUUCCAUGGUUUAGAGAAUGAGUUCAAACAAGAUCAGCGAGGCAAGAGUUAUUCCGAAUGCUUCCCUUAUUAUUCCUCUGACAGGCAAUCCUAAUGGAUGAAUAAUUUUCUAGUAUGCCUUCUUGACUGUGUACACUGAUAGGUAUUUGGACUUUGUAUGCAGUGAUCUUGUUGAUCUAAUGGAUGAAUAAUUUAAAGGUUUACAAAGAGCUUAUAUGUGUUCAGGUUGAAAUGAUCGGUGCUUGAAUUCAUAUAUUUUUAUGGGCCAACAAUGGAACACGAAUGGAUUACAAAAUUACUAAAUCGCAUACCUUGUGGUUUUGUGAGGGGGCGGGAGUGAAGAGAGAGAGAAGACUCCAGUGAACAGAUAGUUGUGCUACAGUAGCAUUGUUAGGUGGAGCCGAAGCCCAUUGGAGCCAUGCCAAAGGCACCCAUAGCAUGUCUAAUAGUACCUACAUCCUUUUCAAAAAUAUAGUACAGAGACAACUUGUACCCUCCAUUGCUAUAUAUGUACAUUUUCUCUCUAGAAUCAUGUCAUUAUAUGUACACAUCACGUGAUGAGUAAUAUUAUUGUUUCCUCCCACAAUCAAUACAACUUCCAACGAUUGUUCAAAUU